AAAAAAAAUUAAUAUACUGCUUUAACAAGAUACUAAAAACUUUUAGUUUCUUCCUUCGCCGGCUGAGGAUAAUUUGAAGGAUGCAGAACUAGUACCAACAAUUUAACAGAUAGGAAUAUAUAACAGUCAGCAAAGAUGUUAAACUCGAUUUAAGGCUCAGAAAUUAACUCAAUUCCCUCCGCUUCGCGUAGUUCUGACAAUUAAACUUUAACGCCCCAGAAUCAUUACUAAUAGAGGGAAGAGUAAAUUUGGAACUUUCUAAAUAGAUUUACCUCUCCUGAGCGAGUGCAGA